UACGAAGGGGGCGAGCGUUGUUCGGAAUUACUGGGCGUAAAGGGCGCGCAGGCGGCUCUGAAAGUCAGAUGUGAAAGCCCCGGGCUUAACCUGGGAAUUGCAUUUGAUACUCUGGAGCUUGAGUGUGGGAGAGGAGAGUGGAAUUCCCAGUGUAGAGGUGAAAUUCGUAGAUAUUGGAAGAACACCAGUGGCGAAGGCGACUUACUGGACACAUAUUGACGCUGAGGUGCGAAAGCGUGGGGAGCAAACAGGG
rnacentral:rRNA from 1 species